UUAGCUUUAAUUCCCUUUUUGAAUUACUCUAUUUGAAGUUUUAUAACUCAAGUUAUGCCACUUUUUCUAAGGCUGGCCGGAUUAGUCACAAACCGAGAUAUUCUGGGCAAUUAGGGUUCUGGCAGAUUUGAGGAACCAACUUUGGUUGGCAAUUUGACUUGGUUACGAUCAGAAUUUGGGUUUGUAUUCUUCAUGAAAGUUGUUGUACCAUGUCUAAGCUUUCCAUUGCCAUAAAAAUUAGGUCAUUUGGACCUUUCUACACCAAGUUAUGACAGUACUGUUCAUAUGGUCAAUUCUGUAUAGUGGCAGUGUGUGAAAUCCAGAUUUAACCUAAUUUUACACCCACUUAUGGUUAGUUUUAGGGCAAGGUUUCUACAUGAAAAUUGUAGUUUUGGAUCUUAAUUUUCAUCUCCAAUUGAUCUCACAUCAAUUGGAGCAACAAAAUUGCAAUUAUGGCCAUUUAAGUGGACCAUGGUCUGGCUGUCCAGAUUGAGGAUUACACAUUCACCAUUUCAUUUCAAUUUCAUGCAUUUACUCACACUCCUAAUGACACCAAUUGACCUAACCAAUUUAAACCUCAAUUAGGUCAAUUGGCAGCAAUUUUAAAAACCCCCAAAAUUUUCCCCAAUUCUUCAAUUGUCAAGAACCCUAAUUUCUCACUUAACACAAUUCACUAAAUUAAAGUGUAUAUAAUUCAUUUACACUUUCAAUCAAGCUUGCCUAGACCAUUAAUGUCAUCAAAAUCAAUCAAAUCCCCUUUUUUCCUAACAUGGCCGAAAUUCAUGGGGCUUCCUAGGUGCAUGAAAUUUUUCAAUUUUGAACUAAUUUCUAAGUGUCUUACUUCAUUUCUUCAAUAUACAUAGCUUUAAAUUAGAGAGAGAAGAACUUACUUGAUAUGAAGCUUUCCGAACUUCUUGCUUCUUCAAUUUUUCCUCCAAUUCUUUCUUCUAAACUUCUUACCAAGACUCAAUUACUAGUUUUCCUCAAGAAAAGUAGGGAAUUUAGGGUUGAAAUUAGGGUUUAGAAAAGCGUAUCAUAAGCUUUCAUGGUGGAUUUGAGAGAAGAAGAAAGAGAUGAGAGAGAGGGACAUGGACGACAACAAUAGGGAAAGAAGACCACUUUUAGUUUUUAAGUUUUUAAUUUGUGAUUAUUUAUAUUUAUAUUUAUAUUUAUCCUAAAUUUUCAAAAUUUAAAGUUUUAAAUUUAUGAGGUCAUGCUUACCUCACUUGAGUGAUGUCAUAAGGCAUUUUAUAUUUGAAUUUCUUUUCUUUUUCUUUUUCU
rnacentral:misc_RNA from 1 species